UACUAGUCAGUGAAAUAAAGCCAAACCUAAAGCUGAGAACUGCUCAACUGCUGGUCGGUGGUGGCACACACCUUUAAUCCCAGCACUUGGGAAGCAAAGGCAGAUAGAUUUCUAUGAGUUUGAGGACAGCCUGGUCACAGCAAUAGUUUCAGACUAGCAAGGGUAUCCAGGGAUGCUCACAGGCACACGCCCUUCCAUGGCAAUCACUGAAUGGUUUGUUGUUUAGUACUAGUGGGGAGCUCUGGGAGCCAGGGCUUAGCCUGCCUGCUGCUCCCAUCCCUGCAGUGUUUAGAGUGGUGUCUGCACCCUCCCUAGAAGGGGCUUGGUGUGUAUUUGUGGGUUGGAGGAAGGUUACGUGUAUUUAAGGUUAAUCCGGCACUCAGCUGAUAACGGGGUUCCCUUUCCUUUUUAUCAAGGCUCCCUGGACUUUCUGGGUUUCUUUCAUCUGUAAAGCGAGAGGCCGAAGACACUGUUUUCUCUGACGUGAGUCUGUACACAAGGCAGUGCGCAGUCGGCAAAUGACGGCUCCUGUUGGUAGCCCUUCUCCGUUUCUUAUGACGAACAAUAAAAAUGGAACGUUACCAGAGUAAAACGUGAAUUCUAAAACUGUUGAAUAAACAAAAUUAAUCGGACAAUGGAACUCCCAUUUUCCCGAUGAAUGACUGAAAAAGAACCGAGAGAAAGGAAGCCACUUUUCGUUGUUAUGGAAUCUAGAAUGGCCAUUUUGAAAUGGAGCAGGCAGCAAUAUAGUGGGAAAGCCAACGUGUCUAUCCAUAUCUGUUUCAAAAGACUCAAAAUUAAAUGAUCAUAAAAAGAUCUGUAAGAAAUAUCACUAAGGGAAGAAAGCAAGUUAUCUAAUUAUGUAUAUGUGAAUUAUAUCUAAUUGGAAUACAAAUUUAUCAUAAAUAUAUUCAUUUAUAAUAAAAAGCGAAUGAGAUUUAAAAGCAUCCCAUUCAGCUUUGAUUUUAGAGUGAAACACUUAGGCGGGCACACAGAUUGGAUGUGAUGUAUCUAAGAGAGCCUAUGAAUAUUCAUAGUUGGAGUACAGAUCACAUGUCCACAUCCAUAUAAUACACUUCUUAUUCAAGCCGAAAGAGGCACCCUUUCUCCUCUGGAAAGGAAAUAAUUAGGGUGCGGUUGAAAAAUGUAAAAAUCAGAAACACUCCCUUAAAUAAAAGUCACAGUGUCCAGAGGGGCCGGGAGUCUAACAGAUUGUUUGUUUAACUCGCCCGCGAUGAUGAGGCUGACAAGCCGACAUGAAGCUUAAAGGGAAAUCUGCCAAGGUGGCCAGUGUGCCCGGGGCACAGGCUGCCUCGGGUGCUUCCAUCGGCAAUGAUGAAAGUCUCAGAAGCCCCGUGUGCUCUGCUGGAAGCAAAGACAAAAUCUGCUGACCGAUGUCAGUCAGAGAUCUUGCCGAGCCUCUUUCAAGCACAGGCAGUCCUGUUUGGGGGGCUCAGGAGAGACUUAUAGACUUCGUCCUGCAUCUGCCUGUGCCAUCUCUCAAACAACUGCCCUGCCAUCUCUCAAACAACUGCCCUGCGGAGAUAUCUUAGAUAACAGUGUGGAUUUCUGAGCAAGUGUGUGCACACACACAGGUGGACUUUAGUAUAGUCUUUAGUUGCUCACUUGCUCUCCCUCCCCCCUCAGUCUCUCUCUCUUUCUCUCUCUCUCUCUCUCUCUCUCUCUCUCUUUCUGUGUCUCUCUCUCCGUAUGUAUGUAUGUAUUGUAUGUAUGUAUGUAUGUGCCCAGGUGUGUGCUGGUGUUAUGGAAGUCAGAAGUCAAUGUUUGUUGGGUGUCUUCCUCAAUUGCUGUUCAUUUUAUUUUUGAGACAGGAUGUCUUACUAAACGUGGAGUUCACUGAUUCUGCUAGACUGGCUGGCCAGCAAGCCCAAGCAAGGGGUGCCCCUGUCUUUGCCUCCCCAGCCCUGAGAUACACAAGCAUCAAACAUGUGGCCUCUCACGCUGGGAAGCCUGUUCCCUUUAAAGCUCCCUGAAGCACUGCUUCUGUCAAGGGCAACGUUUCACCUGUACUUAAACUUUUAUUUCUCAGCUCUGGGGAUUGAACUCAGGGCCUUGCCAUACAAGGCCUUUCCCUUACUCACCUGCGCCUCACCCACCACCGUUAAUCUUUAACAGCUUUCACCACUCAUGUCAUUCCCUCUUUCUGUUUUUAAAAGCCAGCAAAGCACGGAUCUCAGGCAGAACCUGUGGCAGACAUAAGUCAAGGGCUGGAAUCCAAUAUAACUAUUUUCGUUCAUUUAUGAAAAGCAUAUGGGUGGCCCAUUUAGGCUCCAAUUUGUCUCCUUUGAACUAAAUUUAUUUGUUGAUGUUUAAAAAGUGUUGAUUUCAAACAAAUGUUAAGGUUAGGGAUAUAGUUCAGGGGUAGAUCCCUGCCUUCUUUCUAUGUGCAAAGCGAUCACCUUGACCCCUAACCCCGAAACAAAAGAAAAGCUACAAGCAGCACCCGACAUUCCCACAGACACACAUGGGAUCCUAACUCAUUGAUCUGUAGGUCACAUGUGGCUAUGUACAAACUGUGAAAAUGGGACCCACCCUCACUGCAGUCUGGGAGGAACUCAACAAUGAGGCCACCAGGAAUAGGCUCCUGGAGGGAGCGUGUAGGGAUCUUCUCAUUUCUUUUUAUCUAGGGAAGAAGAAAAUUGGCUUACAUCCUGUCUGUGUGACAGACACAGUCAAAAUCAUCUAUGAUGCUCGUCUUCAAACCAAACAACAGGAUGCCUCCCAAUCCCAUGUGAGCAGGAAAAAUACAGAGAGUAUGCAGACUUGUCAAUUAUUCCUUAGAUUCCCAUCUGUGACUUGAUAAAUAUUUGAUGCCGUGGCCAGUCAACAUCCCUACAUUAGCGAAACUUCUGCCCAGGAGCAAAAACUGCACAGCUCUCAGCAAUGAGACCCGACCUAAGUAUUUCUGUCUAUGAACGCCAUUGUUGGGGGAAAAUAACUGUGAAGAUGGAUGGAGGACGGCAUAGCAACAGCAGCAGUAACAGCAACAGCAGCAGCAGCAGCAGCAGCAACAGCAACAGUAACAACAGCAACAGCAACAGCAACAGCAGCAGCAGCAGCAACAGCAACAGUAACAACAGCAACAGCAACAGCAGCAGCAGCAGCAGCAGCAACAGCAACAGUAACAACAGCAACAGCAACAACAGCAGCAACAGCAGGCUUUGUCUUUUCACUUCAGACUAUAAGAAAGUUUCUACAAUUUCUCCUUUUUAAAAAACUGUUUCACCAUGCUACAAAAUGCUAAUUUUCUGCCAUUUUUUACAAUGAAAAAAAUCAAUAAUCAAUGGUUUGAAUUUAGCUUGCUGUCCUGGAGACACGCUCCUGAGUUCAGAAGGGUUGAGCCAUGUGUUACCAGGCUCCUUCCGAUGAGGAUUUAUAAAGAUUGAGAGCUUUUUUCUUCCUUCCCAGAUUCACCAGUUUCCCUUGUAAUUUAUCUUUGGGUAGCGAAGAGAUUCCUUAUAAUUUGUCUUUGGGUAAUAGAUCUAUCUCCGAUCUGCUCCUUCUGAGUUGUGAAUUAGAUACAAAGAAAACAUGCUUUUAAAAAAAAAACCCUUUUUUGGAUCCAGAAGAAAAACAUUCAUUAGUAAAGAAUAUAAGGCGAGAGGGGAUUUUCAUCUGUCCUGUGGAUUUGCUCUUAUUUUAAUUACUUUGCUCACUAAAAAGUUUAUAAGACUUCCUUGUGACUGUUAGGUCGGCUAGGCUAGGCAGAAGGCUACUCUCUGCCAUAGUUUACCCUGUACAAGUGUGAGGGGAUACAUUUCUGAACAUACUCUGUUUCUUUUUCUGCCUUUAUUUUGAGCUCCACUUUCGGGCUUUAUUAUUCUGCGUCCCCCUUCCCCUUCUCACUUUGUUUCCAUUUUCAAUGAUACAAAGGAAUAAAAGAGGUGCUGGGGAGAUAGCUAAGUGGUAACAGUGCUUUCCGUGAAAGCAUGAGGACAUGAGUUCAAAUCCCAGCACAUACAUAAAAAGGCGGGUGUGACUGUGCAUGUGACUAUAACCCAGACCAGAGGGAGGAAGAGACAGAGGAAUCCUUGGGGCUUGCUGCCCAAGUUACAGACUAAGUGACAGACCUGUCUCAAGGGAAAGAGUGAUAGAGCUGGGUACCCAGCAUCCUCCUCUGGCUCCUGAGCAUGCACACAUGGUGUAUGCAACCACAGACACACACAUAGACACACACACAGACACACACACAGACACUCACAUGCCCACAUGCGCACACAAUUAAAAGAUAAUACUCAAAGGGCUCCAAGCUGAGUAUACCCUACCAAAAAUGUAUUUGAAGUAAAUACUGAGAUAUCAGAAAAUUAAACAUAUUUUCAUUAACUAGAACAUCAAGGUUAUUUUUCUUCUAAAACAUCAAAAUUCUCAAUUAGUAUAUAAUAGCAAAAUACAAGUAGUAAUGAAUGAAUCUUUACAUAAAUUAAAAUUUUAAAUAAGAGUAAUUGUUUAGUUCUAAAUAAAAUUUUAGUAAAUAUUUUUAUAAAUAUAAAUUAUUUGCAAUUUUUAUGCUCAAAACACAUCAGUUGCUAAGUAAAAAAUAUAAACCGAUAAUGUCAUUGUGCUGGCUAGCUCUUUGUCAACUUGAUACAAGCGAGGGUCAUCUGGAAAGAGGGAGCCUCAUUUGAGAAACUACCCACUUCUCAUUUUUGUAUUAGGUACUUUUUAAUUGCUGUGCUAAGAUUCUAUGACCAAGGCCACUUAGAGAAGAAAGAGUUGAUUGGGGGCUUGUGGUUUCAGAGGGUGAGUCCAUGACCACCAUGGCAGAGAGUGUGGCAGCAUGCAAGCAGGCAUGGCACCAGAGAAGUAGCUGAGAACUUAAUUCUUGAGACACGGCCAUGAGGGAAAGAGAGAGAGAGAGACAUACAAAGAGAUACAGAGAGAAUCACUAACUGGAAAUGGUGUGGGUUUUUGAAAUCUCAAAGCCCAUGUCUACCAGUGACUUACUUACUUCCUCCAGGGAACCCUCCCAAACAGCUCUACCAAUUUAUUUAUUUAUUUAUUUAUUUAUUUAUUUUGGUUUUUCGAGACAGGUUUUCUCUGUGUAGCCCUGGCUGUGCCGGAACUCACUUUGUAGACCAGGCUGGCCUCAAACUCAGAAAUCCCGGAACUCACUUUGUAGACCAGGCUGGCCUCAAACUCAGAAAUCCGCCUGCCUCUGCCUCCCGAGUGCUAGGAUUAAAGUUGUGCACCACCACGCCCAGAGAGUUCUACCGAUUUUAGAACAACUAUAUGAGCCUAUGGGGUCAUUCUCAUUCAAGUCACCACAUGCCCCUACCAGACUGGCCAGCCAGUAGGCAAGUCUGUGGGACAUUUUCUUGAUUAAUGAUUUAUAUGGAAGAACCCAGCCCACUGUGGGCAGUGCUGCUCCUGGGCAGAUGGUCCUGGGUGGUAUAAGAAAGCAGGCUGAGCAAGACAUAAAGAGCAAGGCAGUAAGCAAGUUUCCUCCAUGUCCUCUGCUUCAGUUUCUGCUUCCCGGUUCCUACGUUGGGUGAGUUCCUGCUCUGACUCCCUGGAUGAACUAUAAGUUGUAAGCUGAAAUAAACUCUGUCUUCUUCAAGUUGCUCUGGUCAAAGUGUUUAAUCCCCGUUAUCGAAAGCAAGCUAUGACAGCUCUGCUCCAUGCUUCCAGCAGGCUGUGUCUAUACUGUCUCUAAAGACUAAGAGUAAAUGUUUAAUAUUGCAAAGUGUUCUUUGGCCACCAUGUGUAGCUGUUGCAGACACUGCACUCAUUAGUCUGUGACUGCUUUUGGGUCCACAAAUUGGAACUGGAAGAAGCAAGAAAGUGGAUGCUCAUCACCCCUGGGAAACAAUACUUUAUUAUGCAGGAAUCUAUAGCAUUCGUGACAUCUGGGAGGAAGGAUUUGACAGGUUAAUUAAUUUGUCUUUUCUCCUGCCUAAAUGCUGCCACAGCUCAAAUUCUCCUCCUUAGGAUGGUCCUUCCGUGGCAUUGGCAGCAACACAAGCCACAACCUUCAUGACAUUUGUAGAAAGUCACCUUCUGCUUCCAGGACAAAAGGCAAGAAAGAAAAAGGAAGAAGGCAAGUACAUUUGAAGUGGCCUGGAUGGUACACACUGGGGGCCAUGGCUGCAUCAUUCAGAGGGCACCCAUGCUAUUUAGUAAACUUGCCUUUCAUUGUGAGUUUGUGAUGCUGGACUCUAGGAAGAAUGUUCAGGGGAGAGCCUCUUGUCCUGUCUAAAGGCUGUCCCAAGCUCGAUAUAAAUCCAGUACCACCAAUAGGAUAACCCCAUGUGGAGAGUAGACAGGGACCCCACCCACAAGUACCCAAAUCAAUUAUGAUAUCAACAUUUUUGGCAUUUGUGUUUCUAUAAAAAUGAUACUAGCAUGCACACAUUAUUUUAUGUAUUUAUUAUUAUAUUUUUUUCCACGACAAAGUUUCUCUGUAAAUCCCUGGCUGUCCUAGAACUUGCUUUGUAGACCAGGCUGGCCUCAAACUCAGGGAUCUACCUUCAUCUGCCCAGCUUUGUGUGUGUGUGUGUGUGUGUGUGUGUGUGUUUUAAAUAGACAAGGAAGAUUACUAUAUAAAAGCUUUGAUGAGCUUCAUUUCCACUUAAAACAUUUCAUAACACUAUCCAUAUUGCUACUAAACAUUUGUUAACUUUAUCUUAUUAUAUCAGUAAGAUUUCAACCAUUACUUCUUGAUUGACUUUUUUCUUCAAGUUUAUCAUUAUAAAAAUAAUAUGACAAAUAUCCUUUGGAGAUGACCUUAUUUUCUGUGUUUAAGCUCAUGGCUGCUUUUGGCCAAUUUUAAAUAAUGCAUGAAUAUUAGGACCUAAAUAUAUAUAUUAUAUCUAUAUAUAAUAUGAAUGAAUAUAUUUAUGUAUAUGCUUAUAUACAGUACAUGUGUGCAUAUAUAAUGUAUGUAUAUACACAUAUACAUAUAUACAUAUGUACACAUAUAAAUAUAUACAACAUAUGCAUGUUGUAAAAUUGCUUAGUUCUUACUCAUAGUUUUCAUCUUCUGAAGAAUUUUAUGAACAAUUAAGUUAUAGAUGAAAACGUUACAUUAGGUAAUCUGUCUGAUACCCAAAGCAGAUGAAUACUAACUCCCAAAGGAAAAAAAUGCUAGCUACCAAAAUAUUUAUAAAUUCAGAUUGAUAAGAAAUGUUACAUGGAAAUACAUAUUUACAUACAUAAAUAUUUCAAGUAUCUUAUAUAUUGAGACAGAUAACAAUAUCUUUAUACUAUGUAUACAUGCUUACAUAUAUAAUCCAUAUAGACAUAAGUAAGAUUGGAAACAUAUAUGUGCUUUGGAAAUUGAAGCCAAUCCAGGAUGAAGAUUCAGGUUUGGCUGAUCCCAGUGUCCCUAAACCAUACAUUCUAUGUGCAAUUAGGACUCAGUGAGGCCUCAAGGGUCAUUUGAAUAUAGGACCAAAUCUGCAAAUACAUCAAAAACCAGGAGUCUCAGGGGUAGAGAGGAGUUAAAGAAAAAGGUAAUGGGAGCUUUUGACAUUUGUGUAUUUCUUAACUUACUUAAAUGCUAAAAAAUAGAUUUAUGUAAUAUGUGUGAAAUCUUAAAAAUUAAUAAAAAUAUUAUUUUACAUAGU